AACUAGUCAGUAAAGCUGUAAAGGAGUUGAAGACGAGCCUCGAGAUGAGUGAAGAAAAGGCUGCGACAAUGGAGAAAGAAACAAACAAGCUAAAAAGUCUCAGAGUUUUCAGGUAGAGGGUCAGUCGAGGACAGAAGAUGCUCCCUCUUGGUCUGGAUACGCAGCUGCCGUCGCUCACUAUGAAAGCCAAACCAAUGAGUUGCAUGAGACGAUACGCGGAGACUGAAGAGACACUUCAAAGUUAUCCGGUAAUAUGGAGACCAUGGAUUCCCUGUCACAGAGAAACUGGACUUCUAGAUAAAUUUGGCCAAGGGAAUGUGUCAUCAAGAACCAGACAGAUGACCAAAGGUGCCCAUGGAUUCCAGCACCCUGUCAGGCUCUUCAUGCCAAAGUCCAGGACUGAGGAAUAUCUCUCUCAUUUGGGGAAGGUGGUCUUGGACAAUUUCCCUGUCCAAGCCACUCUCCACUUCUACAACGAUGACUCCAGCUCUGAGGAAGAGGAUGAUGAAGAUAUGGAGGAAGAACUGGAGGUUAAUUCACUCAGUUUGGAUCACAGGUCCCAUCCCCUCAGAGAGAAUUCAUAGGUAGUUAGUCUUUGCUGUUUUGGAAACAAGCAGGGGUGAUUGGACAAGGGAGAGAGACAGUGCAGCAGGUCACAGGAGAUAUGCUACUUCCAUGGUGAGGGUCUAGUAGAGGAUCCAAGGUGUUCACCUGAGACAGCCACAGGAAGCCGGGAAAGGCCAGGUCACUGGCUGCAGUUGGCCUCACUGAGGUGAUUCUGUUUACACCAGCUCAGUGUCAACACACCUUUAACCCAGAUAUGGCCAUUUUCCUUGACAACGUCCUAUGUUCUCAGGACCUUGUCAUGCAAACUCAAGUUGGCCUUGUGCUGGUCCCUCCUUUUUUGUUUGUAGUGAAACAUUUUCUCUGCUUUCUAUCUUUUGUAUUUAUAAUCAUUUUUUAUUUGUUUAUGAAAAAGUGUGUUAUAAAUUGCUGGACAUUUGAGUUACUGUGUAGAUGGUUUGUUGGUUGAAAUGUAAAGAAUGUAUGUGGAUAGAAUUGAGUAUUAAUGUGCUUAGCUAGUGAGUGAAUAUGUUGGUAUGGAUGCAAAGUAAACUUAA